UGGAAAGGCAAGACUCAGUAUGCCAUAUUUUAGAGGGCUCUCAAGAGGAUCCCAAGGCAGUACACAUACUAGAGGAGGGAGAACUUAUUGCCUAAGAGUAAAGUGAAAGUGAAGGAAACACGUUGAAAAAAGGUUUAUUAAAGACUGUAUUAGAUAGUCUAUUUUAAAAGUAAUUAGUAAAGUAACAAAGAUUGUUUGAAAAAGAGGUUGGAGUAGUAAACAAAGUUCAAGCACCUCAGGAUAGGAUCAUAUACAUCUAGUUCAUAGAACCAAGUCAGUUUAGUAGUCACACAGGGGUCAAGGGGUUUGGGCAAAUAGACAUUGGGCUGCAAACACAUAAUCCAACAAGGUUAGGACUAAUUUGGACAUGCUUAAAAAUAGCUGACACUGGCAUAGUCACAAAAUCAGUCAUGAAGAACACAAACACAUAGAGAGAUGGUACCGAGUUGGGAAUCCAU
rnacentral:lncRNA from 1 species